GGGGUCUUGACCUCCAUUCUAGAAUGUGCCCAAGUGUCUUAAGGGCUUAGAGAUCCUCAGACUAAAUCAGAGUGGCGCCAGACGAGAAGGAGAGUAACUGGAUCUGGAAAGCACCGAAGAGCUCCUGCGCCAAGACCUCCAGGGAAGGGGAAGCCUGGAACCCCCCACUCUCCCAGCCGCACCUCCACAGACCUGGCUUCUUUCCAGCUUCCCUCUGCUGCUCCCAGUUCUGCACCCUGGAGCCAAGCACAAAAUCCCUCUUCCCUCGGAGAGCUGGUUGGAUUAAAUUGGGCAUAUUCCAAGAGACUGGCCUGGCUGGCUCUCAAUUCACUGAAUCACGCAGCUGCCCCCUGACCAAACUCUUUUGAGUGAUUAUGGAUCUCAUUUGAGAGGUCAUCUGGAGUUUGAUAUGAUCUGCCUCAAAUCACUGGCACACAGGACUAUCCGGAAGACAUCCCACUGGUAAGGAUUCCUUUCUUAACCUUGAUUUUGUGCUGGAUGUCCUCCAUGACACUGGCAAGUGAACUCCUUUGGAGUGUGUGGGUCUUGCCUUUUAUCCCUUGCUUGAUGUCCAGUGCUGCCAUUUUCAAGGAUUCUUCUAUAAUCUUGACUUAAACAUAUGUAACCCUUGAACCAAAGAGCCACUUGCAUAAGAUUCUUCUCACUGGCAGAGACUGAUUACUCAGUGUUCUGGGCCUGAGUGGGGGCAGAAUUGGUGAGCGCUAGCUAUUGGUGUUCUAGCUUCCAGCCUCAAGAGGGAAGAUGUGUCAUUACAGAUUUCCUGGAGGGAGAGAAAAGCUCUAAGAAGAAGCCAAUGUGCUGAGGGACCAGCUCUUCAAUCCUCAUGAUAUGCGUGGAACUGUGGCUAUGAGAACUGAUGAAUGGGAGGGUUUGGGAGAAACCUGGAAGACUUGUGUGAACUGAUACAAAGUGACGUGAGCAGAACCAGGGGAACAACUUAUACACUGACAGAAAUGUUUUAAAGAUAAGCAACUUUGAAAGUCUUAAGCAAUCCAAUCAAUUUAAAGAUCCACCAAGACUCCAGAUGCAUGAUGAAACAUGCUACCUGCCUCCUGGCAGAGAGGGGAUGGACUCAGGAUGCAGAUGAAGACAUAGAUUUGGAUCUGGUCAAUAAGAUGAUUUAUUUUUCUCAGCAAUAAAUAUUUGUGACAUA
rnacentral:lncRNA from 1 species